AGGUAAAUCAGUAUAUGGGGAUGUUUCCCGUACAUUCAAUGUCAGGAAUACAGGAAAAAUAAAUGGGGGAUAAAAUCCCCCAUUUUUGGAUAACU
rnacentral:sRNA from 1 species